CUCUUUGGAUGAAGAUUAUGAAAAAAAGAAGUCUGAGAAUAUAAUAACAGAAGAAGGGUCAGAGGAUUCCCUGAACUUUCACCAAGGUCCAGCCCACACACAGUCCUUACCUUGCCUGCACCAUCGCACUCAUCCCUCUCAGAAAGACGAAGAGGAAUCAACAUAAAUGUGAAAGGAUGUUCUGCCAUUAUGAAAAACUGAUUUCUCAACUUUUCAAUUUCCGUUUGUUUUCAUUUAAGCUGAAAUAUAGUGCUAUGCAAAAGAAAUCUGCAGGAAUUUUUUCUAUACCUCAAAGUUCAGUCUUAGAAGUUGGUUGCAUUUUCUGCUUCUCAUGGUCCAAGUAAUCCCAAACACAUUCAGUGCUGUUGAGGUCUGGACUCUGGGGUGGUCAGUCCACUGUUCUGAGAACACCAGCAGCUUAUUUGUUUGUUUCGUCCAUUAUCUUUUCUCAGUACUUACUUCUUGUCAGCUACACAUCUAUUUAGACUCAUAGUGUUGAGUUGCCUUCUCACAGUGGAAGGAUGGACAGAAACACCUUUGGAUUCAAGUGGAGCUUGAUUUUCCUCUCUCUCUCUCAAAAAUGAAAGGCUCGGUUUAUUUAAUGGGGACAGUGCUGGUGGUCUACCAGGUCUUUCAGGUGGUUGUUAGGAAUCCUAUUUCUUUAUAUC